GCCACUCUGAGCCUGACCUUGAGAAACAACGGGCAGGAGCCAGGCAAGGAGCUCUCUGGAGACAGAGAAAUCCCCAUUGCUGAGCCUACUGCCAGCCAGCACUGUUUUUGGAGCCUGCAGGACUUUGUGUGCAUUUUUGGGGGGAAGCAGCUUCACCGGUGCCCUGCCUGUGAACAAGCCCGUGCCUCUGCUCCUCUGAUGCUGGAUUACCUCUCUGAGUCACAGCUCGGUUUGUUUCCAGGAGAACGCGCUUUCUGCAGUCUCUCCGUGACGCCCCUGAGGACGAGAUCGUGGCAUCUUUAAUCUCCCCACCCGAAGCCCCACCGCCCCGGGCCGUGAGUGGAUGGCAGCGACUUCAGAGGGUGCCUGUGCCAGCCUGGCAGUACCACGGCUGCGGGGUUGUCUUGGCUAUAGUUAAAUAUGGGUCUCUUCCUCUUCAGAUCUGUUUCUGGUGAUGGCUUGGACUAUAAUGCUGGCUGUCACAAUGAUGCUCCAGGCUCUUGUAGUGUAGAAGACAAGAAGACUGUUGAUCUUUAUGCCAAAGUGUUGAUUACAUAGUGGCACUCUGCUUCACUCCAAAUGCGUAGUUCUAUCUGAAACUCACUGAAGCUCCUUCCAUUGGUCUCAGAAGGCUCUACCUGAGGCUCAUAAACUAUGCGUUACCUCAGCUGUAAGCAUCUGAGGAGCACUCAAAAACCUCAAACUCAGGGGCCCAUCAUGCUGAGCUCCAGGUAAGCAUCCAUGAAGACAUCAGGAUUUGUAAGUGAAUGUGCACCCAAUGGUUCACAAGCUGCUGGAGCUUGUGAAAUGGCAGAGCGCUGCAUCCGUCCUCGGUGGCCUCGGGCCUGGUGGCUUCCACUCUGCUAGAAUUGAGGAGAAAAGUCACAUCUCCUGGCAGGGGCUGCUGCAGGGACCAUGACCACCUCCUGAAGGUGACACCAACCUGCAGAGGGAGCAGGUGGUCAGAUGUCCAGUAUCUGCAGCCACGUGUUUGAUGAAAUUACACCUCAGCAGUUAAUCAGUAAGCCAAUGGGUUUAAAAUUAAGCCAGUGCUUCAAAUUGUUCCUGAACAACUUAGGAGGAAGUGCUGAGACCUGGCACUGAUAAUUUAGCAAUGCUAAAUUGAUUGAGAGCUCAUAGAGUUUCUGGGCACUGGUGUCUCUGUAUGGUGCUUACCUUCUAAGCUUACCAACUUCCUCACCAAGGACAAAAUAAAUCCAUUAUCACAAUAGGUUUAAUCUUAUUUGGCUGGGGAGCCAUCUUUUUUCUGAGAAAUUCUCCUUUUUGUUUAAUUCAUUGUUUUGUUUUCCUCUCUAAUGGCAGAGAAACAGCCCUAUCAAGAAUUCCUAAUUUUGAUAAAUUAAUCGUCUCCCUGUAGAGUGAUCAAUUACAGGAGGUGCUGGGAAACGCACUUGCACGUUUCAGAAUGUCUCAAAUUCAUUAGCUAUUCCACUUGAGUUAUGAGUUAGUGAGCAAGACAAAGGAAAAUGCCUUUGGAAUAACUCUUUGCAGCUUCUGUGUUUUCAAAUAGGCAGCUAAAAAUUUACC